GCUGAUGCCGCAGGGUCCACUACUUCAGAAUUAAAAUGUCUUUUAUUCCAUGCCAGCUCUGUCUUGGUGUCAUUGGUGUCAGGACAGCCACAGAAGUGACACAUAAAGACAAAGAAAAACAGUGAGGAAAAGAGAUGGACAGGCAAGCUCCUGGAUGAUACUCACUGCUAUCGUGUUGUAUCAAUUACAGCUGACCGCCAGCCAGGUGGGUCUGCGGGAGAUUUCAGAUUGCUGAGAGGCUAGCGGAUUGCUCUGUGCCUCCACCCUGCUCAAAAGACUCCAACCCCAGGCCCCGCUGAGGCCUUGUCCUGGGCAGCACAGAGAGACACCUGGCCAAACCGCAGAAACUCUUCCAGCUGCAGACUGCCUGAUGCUCACUGUGGAGAGAAUUCAGGCCAAAGGUGGAGGAAUUCACCAGGCGCUACUGCACUAUCAUUUACAUUUCUCUGGGUUUGAGUCUGUUUGACAUUGCCUUGCAAAGUGUAUUUAUAAACCUUAAAAACAUUUCCACAUUUUGUUGUGUUAUAACUACAAACUUUAAGGAAACUAGAAGGAAAAUAAUAUGUGAUUUUUCAAUGAUUUUCUUUUACUAAUAAAAAUCUGAUUGGACAGAAUUUCCUGUUACUGCCCAGCCAAAAAAAAAAAAAAGAAAAACAACAAAAAAACACAGCACAUUCCACCUUAGGUAUGGUAUGUUAAUGGGCUAUGUACAGUGUUAGUUUUCAAACAAUGGCUGUCUUCUUCUCACUACUUCACAAGGACUGCUCUAUGGUGUAACUAGUAGAUGUCUUAUAAACUGUUUUUCAAACUGCAGAUCUCUGCAGAGCGGCCAUGUUUCUCUUGGCUGAACAUUUUAUCAAUCCUCACCUUGCUUGAAGUUCAGUUUAGACAUGUCUUAGGCUUGCAGAAGAACCAUAACCUGUCUGAUUUUAGAUGAUGUUAUGCUUUGUGAGAUGUUCAAAAUUAGCACACUGUUUUAUAAUCUAACCCCACUUUAAAUUUCUCUCCAACUUUA